CCCUUAGAUGUCCUGGGCCGCACGCGCGUUACACUGAUGCAUUCAACGAGCUUAUAACCUUGGCCGAGAGGCCUGGGCAAUCUUGUUAACGUGCAUCGUGAUAGGGAUAGAUUAUUGAAAUUAUUAAUCUUGAACGAGGAAUUCCUAGUAAACGCAGAUCAUCAAUCUGCAUUGAUUACGUCCCUGCCCUUUGUACACACCGCCCGUCGCACCUACCGAUUGGAUGGUCCGGUGAAGCCUCGGGAUUGUGGUUCUUGCCGCUUUAUUGUGGCGUGACCGCGAGAACUUGUCUAAACCUUAUCAUCUAGAGGAAGGUGAAGUCGUACA
rnacentral:rRNA from 1 species